rnacentral:rRNA from 1 species
UACGAAGGGGGCUAGCGUUGUUCGGAAUUACUGGGCGUAAAGCGCGCGCAGGCGGCCAUUCAAGUCAGGGGUGAAAGCCCAGAGCUCAACUCUGGAACUGCCCUUGAAACUGUAUGGCUUGAGUAUGAGAGAGGUGAGUGGAAUUCCCAGUGUAGAGGUGAAAUUCGUAGAUAUUGGGAAGAACACCGGUGGCGAAGGCGGCUCACUGGCACAUUACUGACGCUCAGGCGCGACAGCGUGGGGAUCAAACAGG